AACCUCCCACCCGUGUUUAUUUUACCUUGUUGCUUCGGCGGGCCCGCCUUAACUGGCCGCCGGGGGGCUUACGCCCCCGGGCCCGCGCCCGCCGAAGACACCCUCGAACUCUGUCUGAAGAUUGUAGUCUGAGUGAAAAUAUAAAUUAUUUAAAACUUUCAACAACGGAUCUCUUGGUUCCGGCAUCGAUGAAGAACGCAGCGAAAUGCGAUACGUAAUGUGAAUUGCAAAUUCAGUGAAUCAUCGAGUCUUUGAACGCACAUUGCGCCCCCUGGUAUUCCGGGGGGCAUGCCUGUCCGAGCGUCAUUGCUGCCCUCAAGCACGGCUUGUGUGUUGGGCCCCGUCCUCCGAUCCCGGGGGACGGGCCCGAAAGGCAGCGGCGGCACCGCGUCCGGUCCUCGAGCGUAUGGGGCUUUGUCACCCGCUCUGUAGGCCCGGCCGGCGCUUGCCGAUCAACCCAAAUUU
rnacentral:rRNA from 1 species